UGAUAACAGAUGGAUGGAGCUGUGCUGGUUAGAUUAGUAGGUUCUGGGGGUUGAUAACAGAUGGAUGGAGCUGUGCUGGUUAGAUUAGUAGGUUCUGGGGGUUGAUAACAGAUGGAUGGAGCUGUGCUGGUUAGAUUAGUAGGUUCUGGGGGUUGAUAACAGAUGGAUGGAGCUGUGCUGGUUAGAUUAGUAGGUUCUGGGGGUUGAUAACAGAUGGAUGGAGCUGUGCUGGUUAGAUUAGUAGGUUCUGGGGUUUGAUAACAGAUGGAUGGAGCUGUGCUGGUUAGAUUAGUAGGUUCUGGGGUUUGAUAACAGAUGGCUGGAGCUGUGCUGGUUAGAUUAGUAGGUUGUGGGGUUUGAUAACAGAUGGAUGGUGCUGUACUGGUUAGAUUAGUAGGUUGUGGGGUUUAAUAACAGAUGGAUGGUGCUGUGCUGGUUAGAUUAAUAGGUUGUGGGGUUUAAUAACAGAUGGAUGGUGCUGUGCUGGUUAGAUUAGUAGGUUGUGGGGUUUAAUAACAGAUGGAUGGUGCUGUGCUGGUUAGAUUAGUAGGUUGUGGGGUUUAAUAACAGAUGGAUGGUGCUGUGCUGGUUAGAUUAGUAGGUUGUGGGGUUUAAUAACAGAUGGAUGGAGCUGUGCUGGUUAUAUUAGUAGGUUCUGGGGUUUAAUAACAGAUGGAUUGUUCUGUGCUGGUUAGAUUAGUAGGUUCUGGGGUUUGAUAACAGAUGGAUGGUGCUGUGCUGGUUAGAUUAGUAGGUUCUGGGGUUUGAUAACAGAUGGAUGGAGCUGUGCUGGUUAGAUUAGUAGGUUCUGGGGUUUGAUAACAAAUGGAUGGAGAUGUGCUGGUUAGAUUAGUAGGUUCUGGGGUUUGAUAACAAAUGGAUGGAGCUAUGCUGAUUAGAUUAGUAGGUUCUGGGGUUUGAUAACAAAUGGAUGGAGAUGUGCUGGUUAGAUUAGUAGUUUCUGGGGUUUGAUAAAAGAUGGAUGGAGCUAUGCUGGUUAGAUUAGUAGGUUGUGGGGUUUAAUAACAGAUGGAUUGUUCUGUGCUGGUUAGAUUAGUAGAUUCUGGGGUUUAAUAACAGAUGGAUGGAGCUGUGCUGGUUAGAUUAGUAGGUUGUGGGGUUUAAUAACAGAUGGAUGUGCUGUGCUGGUUAGAUUAGUAGGUUGUGGGGUUUGAUAACAGAUGGAUGGAGCUGUGCUGGUUAGAUUAGUAGAUUCUGGGGUUUAAUAACAGAUAGAUGGUACUGUGCUGGUUAGAUUAGUAGGUUCUGGGGGUUGAUAACAGAUGGCUGGAGCUGUGCUGGUUAGAUUAGUAGAUUCUGGGGUUUAAUAACAGAUAGAUGGUGCUGUGCUGGUUAGAUUAGUAGGUUCUGGGGUUUGAUAACAGAUGGAUGGCGCUGUGCUGGUUAGAUUAGUAGGUUGUGGGGUUUGAUAACAGAUGGAUGGAGCUGUGCUGGUUAGAUUAGUAGGUUGUGGGGUUUAAUAACAGGUGGAUGGUGCUGUGCUGGUUAGAUUAGUAGGUUCUGGGGUUUGAUAACAGAUGGAUGGCGCUGUGCUGGUUAGAUUAGUAGGUUGUGGGGUUUGAUAACAGAUGGAUGGAGCUGUGCUGGUUAGAUUAGUAGGUUCUGGGGUUUGAUAACAGAUGGAUGGAGCUGUGC